rnacentral:lncRNA from 1 species
AUCACAUGCCAACUUCCAAUUAUUAUAAAUAUGAUUAUGAUUUAAGAAUUUUUUUUUUUAAUCUACUUGAAACAGAUCACCAUUUUUCUUUUAUAAAAAAAAAAAUAAAAACUUUUAAUGCAUUUAUUGGGAAUAAUAGCGUCACCGAUGAGAUAUCCAAUGCCUUUUCGGAGUCAGUAGCAGACAACACGAGAAAGUGUAGGGUAGGACCCAAAGAUGGAGCGCUUUUUGCCUGCGCUUUUUGGUCUUGGGUGUGCUUGCCGGUGGUACACGUGUGUAAUGACCCAAUAAUGCGACUGAAAAAAUGCCAAUAAAAAAUAAUCAUUAAUCAUCGAAUAAAUUCAAAAAAAAAAAGAAAAAAGAAAAAAGAAAAAAGAAAAAAGAAAAAAGAACUUUUUCGUUCGAGUCAGAUCAGACGCUAUUCCAUGUGAUGACGUUGUUCUGAAGAGCGGUACGUUCUGUCGUUCAGAUAUUUGAAAAGGGCGGUGAUAUUUUGUCGGCUCUGGUUGAGUUCGAUCAUCUUUUAACCUAGAACCAACUAACCACAGCCGUUGAUCCUUAAAUUAUUUUUCAACCGUUAAGAUUACUAAUACAAAUGAUAGGUGACCAGGUAAAACGGUUAAAUUCAAAAUUAAAAUAUCUUUACAAUUAAAUUAAGUUUUUUUAUCUUCUUCUUUCUCGUCUUCUUCAUGCUUUCUUCAUCAAGUCUAUCAACAUCCAUCCGAAUUUUAACACGUGAUUCAUCCUUCGAAUCCUCUACAUUCAUCAAAAUUUGAUCUAAAAUAAAACCCAUUAACUUAAAAAAUUUACUGUCUCUCACUAACACUUUGAUGAUAUCUAGUUCAGAUUUCAUACUGUGAAUAACACGAAACACUAUUGGCCAGUUUCAACACUAGAACUACAGCCCUCAGAACAAUUCGAAUCACAAUCACACACAUAAGAGAUCUCUUCACGAGUAUCAAAGAAUUGUUCGUCUUCCUCUUCGUUAGACAUAACCGCCAUAUUUCGCGCAAUUGAGGCCCAACCAUUAACUUCUGAAUCAAAAUAUUUAUAAAUAAGGAAAAUAUCAAUUAAUUCACAGAAUUUUCUAAUUAAAUAACCAAAUAUUAUGGUUGAUUCAAGGAGAAAAGCAACCCAAUAUAUAAAAUCAAUCAACAUAUACAGAUCUUACAAUCACAAGAAUGACAAAACCAAAAAUUAACAACCGCAUUUAACUAAAAUUACUAAGUAAAUCGAAUCAAAAACAAAACAAGCAACUGAUUUGCUGACCUGGGGGUCAACAUAAAAUUCUAGUCAAGCCCCCGCACCAUAAAUGUUAAGAGGAUUCAUUCUCACUUCCAAAAUAACCUCUCCCUUGCAAAAGAAAGCCCCCGAGUUCCCACUUGAAAAGGCAAACAAUGAUCAUCGCUGCAUUGUAAUUGAAUAUAAAUAUAUUCAAAAUAAAAUAAUCUUGAUGAAGAAAACAUGAAGAAGAUGAGGAAGAAGAAGAUAAAAAUCUUAAUUACAUUAUAAAGAAAUUUUAAUUUUGAAUUAAACCAUUCUAUUCGGUCACCUAUCAUUUGUAUUAAUAGUCUUAACGGUUGAAAAAUAGUGUAAGGAUCAACGGCUA